AUUUCUGGUGGUGACAUUUUUGCAUGGAAAACUGUCUCAAUGCGUCUUUCUCUGUGAUCACCACUAAAACUGUACCCUCGUUCAUUUCCGAAUUUUCUGAUGUGUUUUCUGAGAUUGUUAAACAGGAGUUACCCCCCCAUCAGGAGUA